rnacentral:ribozyme from 1 species
CGAUGACCACAGCAGCCAUCGCAGAAGCAUUCGUGUUAUGGCCGUGUCAGAUUCUAAUGAACCUGAAAAUUCUGCU